AUUGAACGCUGGCGGCAGGCCUAACACAUGCAAGUCGAGCGGAUGAAGGGAGCUUGCUCCUGGAUUCAGCGGCGGACGGGUGAGUAAUGCCUAGGAAUCUGCCUGGUAGUGGGGGAUAACGUCCGGAAACGGGCGCUAAUACCGCAUACGUCCUGAGGGAGAAAGUGGGAGAUCUUCGGACCUCACGCUAUCAGAUGAGCCUAGGUCGGAUUAGCUAGUUGGUGGGGUAAAGGCCUACCAAGGCGACGAUCCGUAACUGGUCUGAGAGGAUGAUCAGUCACACUGGAACUGAGCCACGGUCCAGACUCCUACGGGAGGCAGCAGUGGGGAAUAUUGGACAAUGGGCGAAAGCCUGAUCCAGCCAUGCCGCGUGUGUGAAGAAGGUCUUCGGAUUGUAAAGCACUUUAAGUUGGGAGGAAGGGCAGUAAGUUAAUACCUUGCUGUUUUGACGUUACCAACAGAAUAAGCACCGGCUAACUUCGUG
rnacentral:rRNA from 1 species